UGCCCUCAAGAAGCUCACAUUCGAAUGGGAGAAAUGACCUAUGCCUGUGUACAUACACAAUCUAUACACUAUCUAUAAAUGCAAGCCGCCUUAUUUUUAUUCAAAGUCCCUCAAUUGCACCUGAGACUACAACUGCCCCUGAGACUACAACUGCCCCCUGGAUCAUUCCACCUCCCCCCAGGGAGCAGUAUUGCCGGCUUUGGGAAUCUAUGGUCUAGAAUGAUGAUCAACAAAACAGCUGUAUUCCUGACUCUUCUGGACUUUCUCUACCAUGCCCCUGAAAUCUCUUCAUCCUCAAAACUCACCUUACCUCUGGACUUCACACAUUGGAAGUAUCCUUAGACCUUGGAACUCUCUUUUUGAUUGCCUGGUUCCUUCCAGAACUUCCAUUUUGAGGAGAAGGCCCAGGCCAGCCAUGUCUUAAUUCUUCUCUAGGAUACACUCCUGACUCUCCCAGACUUUAUAAUUCCACCUUCACACACACACACACACACACACACACACACACAAACACUCCUUCCCCACCUAGCUUGAGUACAAACACCCAAACAGAAUAACUAGAAAUAUGAUGAUAAUGUCUCCUCUUUGGGUUGGUUUCUAGUGAUUCUAGUGUGCAAUGUAUAUUGUUUUACCAAAUUUCUGAAAAUUGCACAGUUCCAGCAAAACUGCUGAAGUAAAAUUGCUGCAGUUAAAACGUGAUGGAUGUAUUAGAGCAAUCCUCUAAAAAACACCAGUUUUUGUAAGUAAAGGGGAAAAUCAAAAUUGUUAUGAAGUAUCCUGUAAGUGGAGGGGAACCUAUCUGAUAUCAUUCUUGAUCAUAAAGCUCUUAUUGACAGCAAAUGGCCUAACUCUUUACUCUAAAUGACCUGUAAUUUUGUUAGUUUCAAAAUAAAAUUGAGCUGAAAACAUGAGUUCUUUUUUUUUUAAGUCCAGUAUUAUUUAGUGGUAGGCAUUAUAAGAGCAUUGAAAAUUUUUUUACUGCGAGGAUAUUUUUGUUGU